CAUAGUAUUAUUGGAUGGCAUCUAUUUGAUAAUUAAACUGAGGUGGUAUAGGAUGGGCAUGCGUCUGAUUAGUUAGUUGGCGGGGUAAUGGCCCACCAAGACGAUGAUCAGUAGGGGUUCUGAGAGGAAGAUCCCCCACACUGGCACUGAGAUACGGGCCAGACUCCUACGGGAGGCAGCAGUAGGGAAUAUUGGUCAAUGGAUGCAAGUCUGAACCAGCCAUGCCGCGUGCAGGAAGAAGGCCUUCUGGGUUGUAAACUGCUUUUGCCAGGGGAUAAAAUUUCCAUGCGUGGAAAACUGAAGGUACCUGGUGAAUAAGCCACGGCUAACUACGUG
rnacentral:rRNA from 1 species